UGGCCCACCUAGAGGCUUUCUUGGUCAGUGC
rnacentral:piRNA from 1 species